rnacentral:rRNA from 1 species
AAACUUUCAACAACGGAUCUCUUGGUUCUGGCAUCGAUGAAGAACGCAGCGAAACGCGAUAAGUAAUGUGAAUUGCAGAAUUCAGUGAAUCAUCGAAUCUUUGAACGCACAUUGCGCCCGCCGGCAUUCCGGCGGGCAUGCCUGUCCGAGCGUCAUUU